GCAGCUACCCAGCAAUGGGAUGCGAAUCUCGAAAGCCUGUCUCAGUUCGGAUUGGAGGCUGAAACCCGCCUCCAUGAAGUUGGAUUCGCUAGUAAUCGCGCAUCAGCCAUGGCGCGGUGAAUACGUUCCCGGGCCUUGUACACACCGCCCGUCAAGCCAUGGGAGCCGGGGGUGCCUGAAGUUCGUGACCGCAAGGAGCGACCUAGGGCAAAACUGGUGACUGGGGCUAAGUCGUAACAAGGUAGC
rnacentral:rRNA from 1 species